rnacentral:tRNA from 1 species
GGAUGGGUGGCUGAGUUGGUCUAAGGCGCACGAUUGGAAAUCGUGUGUACGCUAAUACCGUACCAAGGGUUCAAAUCCCUUCCCAUCCGCCA